rnacentral:rRNA from 1 species
UGGGGAAUCUUGGACAAUGGGGGCAACCCUGAUCCAGCGAUGCCGCGUGUGUGAAGAAGGCCUUCGGGUUGUAAAGCACUUUAGUGGGGGAGGAGUAGGAUCUGUUGAAUAGGCAGGUCUGAGGACGUUACCCCAAGAAUAAGCACCGGCUAACUCUGUGCCAGCAGCCGCGGUAAUACAGAGGGUGCGAGCGUUAAUCGGAAUGAUUGGGCGUAAAGGGAGCGUAGGCGGAUACAUAAGUGGUAUGUGAAAUACCCGGGCUUAACCUGGGGGAGUCAUAUCAGACUGUGUGUCUAGAGUGAGGUAGAGGAAGGUGGAAUUUCUGGUGUAGCGGUGAAAUGCGUAGAUAUCAGAAAGAACAUCGAUGGCGAAGGCAGCCUUCUGGGCCUUUACUGACGCU